AUUGAACGCUGGCGGCAUGCUUUACACAUGCAAGUCGAACGGUAACAGGCCUUCGGGUGCUGACGAGUGGCGAACGGGUGAGUAAUGCAUCGGAACGUACCCAGAGGUGGGGGAUAACGCAGCGAAAGCUGUGCUAAUACCGCAUGUGAUCUGAGGAUGAAAGCGGGGGACCGAGCAGCAAUGUUUGGCCUCGCGCCUUUGGAGCGGCCGAUGUCGGAUUAGCUAGUUGGUGGGGUAAAGGCCUACCAAGGCGACGAUCCGUAGCUGGUCUGAGAGGACGACAAGCCACACGGGGACUGAGACACGGCCCAGACUCCUACGGGAGGCAGCAGUGGGGAAUUUUGGACAAUGGGCGCAAGCCUGAUCCAGCAAUGCCGCGGGCGGGAAGAAGGCCUUCGGGUUGUAAACCGCUUUUGGCAGGAACGAAACGGUGUCCGCUAAUACCGGGCGCUAAUGACGGUACCUGCAGAAUAAGCACCGGCUAACUACGUG
rnacentral:rRNA from 1 species